rnacentral:rRNA from 1 species
UACGUAGGGUGCGAGCGUUAAUCGGAAUUACUGGGCGUAAAGUGUGCGCAGGCGGCCAUGCAAGUCGAGUGUGAAAGCCCCGGGCUUAACUUGGGAAUUGCGCUCGAAACUACGUGGCUGGAGUGUGGCAGAGGAAGGUGGAAUUCCGCGUGUAGCAGUGAAAUGCGUAGAUAUGCGGAGGAACACCGAUGGCGAAGGCAAUCCCCUGGGCCUGCACUGACGCUCAUGCACGAAAGCGUGGGGAGCAAACAGG